rnacentral:rRNA from 1 species
GGAAUCUUCGGCAAUGGACGAAAGUCUGACCGAGCAACGCCGCGUGAGUGAAGAAGGUUUUCGGAUCGUAAAACUCUGUUGUUAGAGAAGAACAAGGGUGAGAGUAACUGUUCACCCCUUGACGGUAUCUAACCAGAAAGCCACGGCUAACUACGUGCCGG